AAAGAAGGUCCAGUGAAAGAGGAGAAGGAAGAUGAGGCUAUCACGGUUAAAAAGGAAGUAGAGGGUGAGGCUGUUACAGUGAAAGAGGAAGACGUUUCAGUGAAAGAAGAGGAGGAUGAGAUUACUGUCACAGUUAUAGAGGAGGAAGAAGAGAAGAAUGGAGAUCUGAUUAACACCAGUGAGAAUGGAGAUCUGAUUAACACCAGAGAGAGACAAGACUCUCACUCUGACAGCGAAAAGCGUCUUUCAGAAGAACCAGAGACGUCCAAACCAGCAAGACGACGCCACUCUUCCCAGUGUGGAAAGAGUUUUAUCAAGUUAGGGAGCCUUAAAAACCAUGAGAGGACACACACAGGAGAAAAGCCCUACCAAUGUUCCCAGUGUGGAAAGAGUUUUACCAAGUUAGGGAGCCUUAAAAACCAUGAGAGGACACACACAGGAGAAAAGCCCUACCAAUGUUCCCAGUGUGGAAAGAGUUUUACAAGGUUCUGGAACCUAAAAGAACAUGUGAGGACACACACAGGGGAAAAACCUCAUCACUGCUCCCAGUGUGGAAAGAGUUUUAUCCGGUCAAGCCACCUGAAAGAACACAAGAGAACGCACACAG